UGUCGCCAACUCGCGUCUCCCAGAGUUUGUGUUCACCAGCACCCGGCCCCUUUAACUGGAACCCGUAGAUCCGAACUUGUGCGCGUUAUGUCGUUGGGCGC
rnacentral:pre_miRNA from 1 species